GGGAUUUUCUUAGAAUCCCAUACGUUACGUGUUAAUAACAUAGUCUUUGGCCGGGCUAUGUGGUUAGGAAAAGC
rfam:Prevotella bivia DSM 20514 genomic scaffold Prebiscaffold_3, whole genome shotgun sequence.